rnacentral:rRNA from 1 species
UAAGGAAUAUUGGGCAAUGGGCGCGAGCCUGACCCAGCCAUGCCGCGUGCAGGAAGACGGCCUUAUGGGUUGUAAACUGCUUUUGUCAGGGGAUAAACCUAUCUACGAGUAGAUAGCUGAAAGUACCUGAAGAAUAAGCAUCGGCUAACUCCGUGCCAGCAGCCGCGGUAAUACGGAGGAUGCGAGCGUUAUCCGGAUUCAUUGGGUUUAAAGGGUGCGCAGGCGGGGCAUUAAGUCAGUGGUGAAAUAAGACGGCUCAACUGUCUGGCUGCCAUUGAUACUGAUGUUCUAGAGUGUUAGUGGAGUGGGCGGAAUGUGUCAUGUAGCGGUGAAAUGCUUAGAUAUGACGCAGAACACCGAUCGCGAAGGCAGCUCACUAAGUUAAUACUGACGCUCAUGCACGAAAGCGUGGGGAUCAAACAG